UUGUGAACGUACCCGUCAGCGUUGCCUCGGCGGGCGGCCCCUCCCUGGGGCCGCUGCCUCCCUCGGGGGGUGCCCGCCGGCGUACCAAAACUCUUUUGUAUUUUAGUGGCCUCUCUGAGAAAACAAGCAAAUAAGUUAAAACUUUCAACAACGGAUCUCUUGGUUCUGGCAUCGAUGAAGAACGCAGCGAAAUGCGAUAAGUAAUGUGAAUUGCAGAAUUCAGUGAAUCAUCGAAUCUUUGAACGCACAUUGCGCCCGCCAGUACUCUGGCGGGCAUGCCUGUUCGAGCGUCAUUUCAACCCUCAAGCCCUGCUUGGUGUUGGGGUCCUACGGCUGCCGUAGGCCCUGAAAGCUAGUGGCGGGCUCGCUAUAACUCCGAGCGUAGUAGUAAAAUAUCUCGCUAGGGAGGUGUCGCGGGUUCCGGCCGUGAAAGCCCAUCUUUUACACAAGGUUGACCUCGGAUCAGGUAGGAAUACCCGCUGAACUUAAG
rnacentral:rRNA from 1 species